rnacentral:rRNA from 1 species
AGUCACUGACAUUAGAUACCCCGGUAGUCCCAGCCCUAAACGAUGCGCGUUAGGUGUAUCGGUGGCCACGAGUCACCGAGGUGCCGAAGGGAAACCGUGAAACGUGCCGCCUGGGAAGUACGGUCGCAAGGCUGAAACUUAAAGGAAUUGGCGGGGAGCACCACAAGAGGUGGAGGCUGCGGUUCAAUUGGACUCAACGCCGGAAAACUCAUCGGGAGCGACAGCAGUAUGAUUGCCAGGUUGAUGACCUUGCUUGACAAGCUG